rnacentral:rRNA from 1 species
UACGUAGGGUGCGAGCGUUAAUCGGAAUUAUUGGGCGUAAAGCGUGCGCAGGCGGCUUCAUAAGACAGAUGUGAAAUCCCCGGGCUCAACCUGGGAACUGCGUUUGUGACUGUGAGGCUAGAGUGUGGCAGAGGGGGGUGGAAUUCCACGUGUAGCAGUGAAAUGCGUAGAUAUGUGGAGGAACAUCGAUGGCGAAGGUAGCCCCCUGGGUUAACACUGACGCUCAUGCACGAAAGCGUGGGGAGCAAACAGG